AUGCUGGGUCCCCUUGCUGUCCUGUGUGCCCUCCUGUUUCCCGGUGGUGGAGCAGGGCUCAACCUGGAGCAGAAUCCUGUGGCUGUGGAGCGCUUGGACACUUUGGCCAUCCUAAAAUGUCAAGUGGAUACCUGGGUCUGGUAUAUCAACUGGUACUUCCAUCAGGAGGGUACAGCCCCCAAGUGGCUCCUCUACCUAGACAUGUCCACCGGGAAGGUGCAGAGGGAUGCAUUUGUGAAUGCAGACAAAGUCAGUGCCCAAAAGGGCAAGGACAGUUACAGCUGCGCCUUGUUGGUACAGAGGCUGAGGAAGAGCGAUGAGGGCGUGUACUACUGUGCUGCCUGGGAACCGCACAGCUACUCCUGCUGCCCUGGUCUCCGUGCAAAAAGUUGGAGAAACAAAGUGUUUGGUCCCGGCACAACGCUCAGGGUUACAGAUAAAAGUCCUGAAGACAUUUCCCCCAAGCCCACAAUUUUUCUUCCUUCGAUUGCUGAAAUAAAAGUCCAUAAGGCUGGAACAUAUCUUUGUCAUCUUGAGGAAAAUAUUCCUGAUGUUUUUAAGAUAGAUUGGAAAGAAAAGAAUGGCAAAACAAUUCUGCAGUCCCAGCAGGGAAACACCGUGAAGACUGAGGACACAUACAUGAAAUUCAGCUGGCUGACCGUGACUGAGGAAUCAUUGGAUAAAGAACACCAAUGCAUCGUCAAAGAUGAGAGGAAUAAAGAAAGGGUUAAUCAAGAGAUUGAUUUUCCUUCAAUAAACAAAGGUAUGAUGGAAUCCAAUGUGGACCCCAUGGGGCAUUCAGAGGCAAAGCAAAACACAGAGGUGGUAACUUUGAACCCUUCCAGUUCAAGAUCUUUCAGGCCUGUCCCAAGCACUGUGGAACUCACUGCUAUUAACUCUACAGAAGCUUUCCUGGAUGAUGAAAAUCGUAAGUUUUUGUCUACCCUGCAGCUGCAGCUCAUGAACACCUCUGCUUACUACACCUACCUCCUCCUCCUCCUGAAGAGCCUGAUGUACUCCAUCAUCAUCACCAUCUGUCUGCUUGGGAGACCAGCACUCGAUGGCAAUGGGAAGAGUUCCUAA